UACGGAGGAUGCAAGCGUUAUCCGGAAUGAUUGGGCGUAAAGCGUCCGCAGGCGGCUGUGUAAGUCUGCUGUGAAAGAGCAAAGCUCAACUUUGUAAAGGCAGUGGAAACUACACGGCUAGAGUGCGGUCGGGGCAGAGGGAAUUCCUGGUGUAGCGGUGAAAUGCGUAGAGAUCAGGAAGAACACCGGUGGCGAAGGCGCUCUGCUGGGCCGCAACUGACACUGAGGGACGAAAGCUAGGGGAGCGAAUGGG
rnacentral:rRNA from 1 species